UACAGAGGUCUCAAGCGUUGUUCGGAUUCAUUGGGCGUAAAGGGCGCGUAGGCGGCGGGGUAAGUCGGGUGUGAAAUCUCAGAGCUCAACUCUGAAACUGCACUCGAUACUGCUCUGCUUGAGGACUGGAGAGGAGACUGGAAUUCCUGGUGUAGCGGUGAAAUGCGCAGAUAUCGGGAGGAACACCUAUGGCGAAGGCAGCUCGCUGGGACGUUACUGACGCUGAGACGCGAAAGCGUGGGGAGCAAACAGG
rnacentral:rRNA from 1 species